rnacentral:lncRNA from 1 species
CUAAAAGGACGCACAAGAACUGAAAAAGCUGAAGCGUUUCAUGUCGGACCUUUUAUAACCGUUUACCUUGUAUUGGUAUAGCAUAUUGUUGAAGACCGUACGGUUGUCUAUAACUCCUGACACCAACUUUAUUUGAACAGUGGUGGAUAGUUGCUUCCAUGGCAAUCAUACCAUAUUUCCUCAUUUUCAUAUAUUACAAAAGAAUAAGACAUGAAAAACAGUCAAAUCCCACGGUUUGCGAUGAAUUUUUAUUACAGAUAAUUAGAUUCGUAAAUAUACUGUCUUUAUACCUUUAUACAUGGAAACUAUAUUUAAGCAUUCACUAAAUAUUAGACAAUUUUGGAGAUUGUUUGUCCC